rnacentral:rRNA from 1 species
AUAGAGACUCAGAGCUGCAUAUCAAUAAGCGGAGGAAAAGAAACUAACAAGGAUUCCCUUAGUAACGGCGAGUGAAGCGGGAAGAGCUCAAAUUUGAAAUCUUCAAGGGUUCUACCUUGACGAAUUGUAGUUUAAAGAAGUGUUUUCUGUUAGAUGAGUUAGCUAAAAGUUCCUUGGAAUAGGGACAUCAUAGAGGGUGAGAAUCCCGUAUUUGACGUUAUUCAUUCUAGCUUUGUGAUACACUUUCAAAGAGUCGGAUUGUUUGGGAAUGCAGUCCAAAAUGGGUGGUAAAUUUCAUCUAAAGCUAAAUAUUGGCGAGAGACCGAUAGCGAACAAGUACCGUGAGGGAAAGAUGAAAAGAACUUUGAAAAGAGAGUUAAACAGUACGUGAAAUUGUCAAAAGGGAAGCGUUUGACACCAGUGUUGUUUUUCUCGAAAAUCAAUUAAAGAAUGGCUUGAUUCUGUGUUGUAUUGACCUUAUCAGCUUUCUUCACUCUUUUUCGAGUCUUUCUUAAUGCACUUUUCGGUUAACAAGUCAACAUCAAUUUCUUUUGUUGUAAAAGGAGUCAUUCGGAAGGUGGCUUUCUUUUCGGAGAAAGUGUUUAUAGCCCUAUAGCCUUCUAGCAAUCGGAGAGAUUGAGGUCUGCAGCGUAGAUCCUUCGGGGUUAGAUACACUUUGUGCUAAGUUAUAGCUUUUCAUAGACAACUUGUUGACUAUGUUUAGUCAUUGUAGCUUACUCGCUUAGUGCUAUUUUACCUACGCUUAGGAUGUUGAAGUCAUCGUAUCGCGC